rnacentral:rRNA from 1 species
AUUGAACGCUGGCGGCAUGCCUUACACAUGCAAGUCGAACGGUAACAGGUCUUCGGAUGCUGACGAGUGGCGAACGGGUGAGUAAUACAUCGGAACGUGCCUAGUAGUGGGGGAUAACUACUCGAAAGAGUGGCUAAUACCGCAUGAGAUCUACGGAUGAAAGCAGGGGAUCGCAAGACCUUGUGCUACUAGAGCGGCCGAUGGCAGAUUAGGUAGUUGGUGGGAUAAAAGCUUACCAAGCCGACGAUCUGUAGCUGGUCUGAGAGGACGAUCAGCCACACUGGGACUGAGAAACGGCCCAGACUCCUACGGGAGGCAGCAGUGGGGAAUUUUGGACAAUGGGCGCAAGCCUGAUCCAGCAAUGCCGCGUGCAGGAUGAAGGCCUUCGGGUUGUAAACUGCUUUUGUACGGAACGAAACGCGCUGAGCUAAUACCUCGGCGUAAUGACGGUACCGUAAGAAUAAGCACCGGCUAACUACGUGCCAGCCGCCGCCGUAA